CAACUCUGCAUGCUUCUUUGAGGGUUAACUAUAUUCUAAAGCACACCAAGCUCUUCGUGUUUGUGGCUGGAGUGACUGUGUGCCGCUUUGCCCUUAGAUGCAGCGACGCUUUCAUAACUUCUGAAGAUGUCUGAACGGUCCAAGGUGACACACAUAAUUCAUCACCUCCUUCAUUCGCUGAUUUACCACAUCCUCCUGUGAGCUCCCUGAGAGCAGGUUCUGUGAUAACUUCUAAAAUAGUACGGAGCAGGAGUAAGAGAGCUGUGGAAGAAAAACAUCGUCAAACCGGAAUUCCUUGACACCACCGGCU
rnacentral:lncRNA from 13 species